rfam:Ornithorhynchus anatinus chromosome 2, whole genome shotgun sequence.
ACCCUCUCAGGAUAGCACCUGGAGAGUUUCCAGGACUCUACCAGUUUGGCCUACAGGAGGGUGAGUCAAGCAGAGGUCUACCCAUUCCAUUCCUAGCUUGGGCAGUGGCUAUCAAGUGGAAGGCAAUCUGCUACAAAU